GAAAUGCGAUAAGUAAUGCGAAUUGCAGAAUUUCCGUGAGUCAUCGAAUCUUUGAACGCACAUUGCGCCCAUUGGUAUUCCGAUGGGCAUGCCUGUUCGAGCGUCAUUUCAACCAUCAAGCCCCCGGGCUUGUGUUGGGGACCUGCGGCUGCCCGCAGGCCCUGAAAACCAGUGGCGGGCUCGCUGUCACACCGAGCGUAGUAGCAAUCACCUCGCUCAGGGCGUGCUGCGGGUUCCGGCCGUUAAACAGCCUUACAAAACCCAAGGUUGACCUCGGAUCAGGUAGGAAGACCCGCUGAACUUAAGC
rnacentral:misc_RNA from 1 species